rnacentral:rRNA from 1 species
UACGAAGGGGGCUAGCGUUGCUCGGAAUCACUGGGCGUAAAGCGCACGUAGGCGGCUUCUUAAGUCAGGGGUGAAAUCCUGGAGCUCAACUCCAGAACUGCCUUUGAUACUGAGGAGCUUGAGUCCGGGAGAGGUGAGUGGAACUGCGAGUGUAGAGGUGAAAAUUCGUAGAUAUUCGCAAGAACACCAGUGGCGAAGGCGGCUUACUGGUCCGGUUCUGACGCUGAGGUGCGAAAGCGUGGGGAGCAAACAGGG